GACGAACGCUGGCGGCGUGCUUAACACAUGCAAGUCGAACGGAAAGGCCCUGCUUUUGUGGGGUGCUCGAGUGGCGAACGGGUGAGUAACACGUGAGUAACCUGCCCUUGACUUUGGGAUAACUUCAGGAAACUGGGGCUAAUACCGGAUAGGAGCUCCUGCUGCAUGGUGGGGGUUGGAAAGUUUCGGCGGUUGGGGAUGGACUCGCGGCUUAUCAGCUUGUUGGUGGGGUAGUGGCUUACCAAGGCUUUGACGGGUAGCCGGCCUGAGAGGGUGACCGGCCACAUUGGGACUGAGAUACGGCCCAGACUCCUACGGGAGGCAGCAGUGGGGAAUAUCGCACAAUGGGCGGAAGCCUGAUGCAGCAACGCCGCGUGCGGGAUGACGGCCUUCGGGUUGUAAACCGCUUUCGCCUGUGACGAAGCGUGAGUGACGGUAAUGGGUUAAGAAGCACCGGCUAACUACGUG
rnacentral:rRNA from 1 species